UAGAGGCCUCAGAGCCAAGCCAUUUAUUACAUCUCCCAACCCCUGUGUCUAUGAACCUGCCAAAUGAACCAAAUCAGGUACUGCACUCCUGUUCCUGCCAUGCUACAACUUAGAACUGUUCCCCCAGGACCCACGAAGGCCUGUAGUGUCCAAGCAUGAGCCUGCUGUGGGAACUGCUAAUCCAGACCUAAGAAUGAUUGUGUCAUGGUCCGGCCCACUUGUAUUUUUUUAUGUAUGUAUAUAAACCCUGCCUUUGCCUCAGUAGGCUAAGCCCGCCUCCUUGGGUGUGGGCUUCUACUUGCAAGCAUUUCCCUCAUUCUGAAAUUAAUUAAACUUCUAUUUGAUCCCUGAUUCUCCUGUGUCUAGCUUGCUCCAUUCAGCUGCAGCUGUUCACAGGUUAGAGGCCGAUUCUGGUCUAAUUGACAUUAAUUCGUGUUAGAAGAGGGACUAGAUGGAACUGGGCCAAGUGGACUUUCCAAUACCAGUGGGAAUCCUCCAGAGUCUGAGAGCCCCUCCACUCUCCUUAUCCACCUUCACUCUUCUCAUUGUUGAGUCCGAGGAUUUUUUCUGGCUCUAAUGCCAGUCUCACCCUUUGACUGAGCUUGCCUUUUUUUGUGAGGAAAACUCCAGGGCUCCUCCCUUGACCUGUUUCUGAAAGACUGGACUCAAAGAAUGCAGGAGACCCUGAAUGUGUCAAGGAGAAAAUAUCCUUCACCCCUGGCUGACAUAAUUUGUUGUUUACUCCCCAAGCUGGAUUCCCUGUGUAUCCUUGAGAGGAAAGACAAGAGAUGAGGAAUUGAGGCAAACAGGAUUAAGUAAUUUGCCUUGGGUCAUAUAGCUAGUAAGUAUUAAGAGGUUUGAUUUGAAUGCAGGAAGAACAGUCUUUCUGACUUUAGGCCCAGCACUCCAUUUACUUUUUGACUUAGCUGCCACCAAACCCUCAACUAGCUCACACUAAAUGUGAUCUGGUUUCAUUUUAAAAAUUCAUGCUAAAUUAAGUUUUACAUAAAUCACAACCUAACUGUAUUCUAUCACAGCUUAUUCUGCUAUUUAACUUGACAUAUUUUAUUCUUCAUGUAUCUCUCCACUUUUGAAUAAUCUCCCUAUUUGGCAGGAAAUUAUAGA